AUGGCUUCGUCCCACCUGGCAGCAGCUGCCUCCAUGGUCCUCUUCCUUGCCGUGUUCGCUGCCAGCACGAACGCGGCGACGUUCAACAUCAAGAACAACUGCCCCUACACGGUGUGGCCGGCGGCCACCCCGAUCGGCGGCGGUCGGCAGCUCAACACCGGCGAGACGUGGACCCUCGACGUCCCCGCGAACACGCCCUCCGGCAGGGUGUGGGGCCGCACGGGCUGCAACUUCAAUGGCAACUCCGGGAGCUGCCAGACUGCCGACUGCGGCGGCGCGCUGUCGUGCACGCUGUCCGGGCAGCCGCCGCUGACCCUGGCCGAGUUCACCAUCGGCAACGGCCAGGACUUUUACGACAUCUCUGUCAUCGACGGCUUCAACGUGCCGUUGUCAUUCUCCUGCAGCAACGGGCCCAACCUGGUGUGCCAGGCCGACAAGUGCCCCGACGCCUACCUCUUCCCGACCGAUGACACCAAGAACCACGCCUGUAACGGCAACAACAACACCUACCAGGUUACCUUCUGCCCAUGA
rnacentral:rRNA from 1 species